UCGGCCAUAUCCUUGCUUAAUUAAAGGUUCCUUUUUGUUCGGUUUUUGAAAAUUUUUACGUUUUUGAGAUCGUUGCUUUGUGUACUACAAGACCCAUGCUUUAAUUUUAGAAUUUGGUGUUGAUUUUGUGAUAUGCCAUUGAUGAAUGCUUGAGAUUUGUGAUAGUUGAUGAUGAAAUAUGAAAGAUAUGUGAAAGAUUAACGUGUUUUGUCUUUGAAUUUUUGGUGAAAUUGAGUAAUUAGGGCUAAAUUGUGAAAUUAAAAUUUUGAGGGAUUAAAAUGUGAAAUAAAUGAAUUUGUGGACUUGUAUGAGCACUAGGGACAUUCGGCCCUUGUAUAGUAUGGGCAAAUUUUGUGUAUUUUGUGUUUUAUGUAAUAGGGACUAAAUUACAAAAAAAUGUAAAUAUUAGGGGUAAAAUGGUAAUUUUCCCAUUUAUGUGUUUUUGGACUAAAUUGAAUGUAAUAAUAUUUAAUUUAUCUCAUUUUGUAUAUAUUUAGAUCAAGAACCAAAGAAAUCGGAGUUAGAUCGAGGAAAAGUUAAAGUCGUCGACUAAUUGUCCGGUUUCGAUUUUACACUGUCCGAGGUAAGUCUAUUAGCUAUAUAAUGUCAUAAAAAUCAGUAUUUAGGUAUGUAUAUGUGAUGUAUUUUGAUGAAUUAUAAUUUAAAAUAUGUUGGUUGAAAUAAUUAAAAGCAUGAGUGAAUUAUAUGCAUUAUUGUUACAUGUUCGAAUCAUGGUUAUAUACUUAUAUGGGCAUUUGAAUUUAGUUAAAGUAUGAAGGUAUAUAAGGAUAUACAAUUAUAAAUGUUAUCAAAUUUAGUUGGAGUAUAAAAGUUUUAUAUUUUUAUAUGUACAGGUUUUGAAUUUAUACAUGUAUAUACAAGUAUAAAGUAUUGGUUUAAUAAAAAGUAUAUAUAUAUGUGUGUGUGUGUACUUAAGAUUCGGAAAUAAACAUAGGUUUAUAUUGGUAUAAAACUUUGUAUUGGAUCUAUAAUAUGCAAAUAUACAUGUAUAUGUCCUUGUAUUGAAUUCAGGUAUGCCAUUUAUACAAGUUUAUAUGAGGUUCAAUUAUGCAAAUAUGCAUAUAUAUAUAUGUUCUGUAAUGAGUUUAAGUAUGGAAUUUAUACAUGUAUAAGGGAGGUUCGAUUAUGUAUGUAUAUUCAUGUAAAAACUCUUGAAUGGAAUUGAAGAUAUGAAAUUAUUAGUUUGGAAUAUCAUAAGGUGUUCGAAUGCAUGAUAUUAGGUAGUAGGCUUUAAUGUAUUAAGUUAUAUAUAAUAUAUGUUCGGAUGUAUAAUUAAGUUAUUGAGCUCGAAUUUGAUGUCUGAACUUUAUAUACCUAUGUGGAUUAAAGAUAUAGUUUAUAAAUUAUUGAGUUGAAUUUUUAUGUGGAUAAUAUAUACAAAUAUGAGAUAUAACUUCUGUGAAUUGAGAUUUUAGGCUCACUGCCUAUCAGGCUUAAUGCCGGUGAAACAAUAUCAGACUUUACGUCUAGCAGGCUUAAUGCCGGUGAAAUAAUUUCAGACUUUACGUCUAGCAGGCUUAAUGCCAGUGAAACAAUAUCAGACUUUACGUCUAGCAGGCUUAAUGCUGGUGAAACAUUUCAGACUAUAUGUCUAGCAGGCUAAGUGCCGGUGUACUGAAUCAGGCUUUAAGUCUAGUAGGCUAAGUGCCAGUGAAUCUGUUUAAAGAAUGUGAUUAAGUGUACAGUUAUAUGAUUUUGGUUAUCUUUAAUUGAUGAGCAUAUAUACCUUCGGCUAAGUGUGUUUAAUGAAUAUGUACAUAUUCUGUCUAUGCAUUAGUAAAAAUAUACAUACAUGCUUUCGAUUUAUGCAGUCGAUAAAUGUAUACGUAUAAAUAUUCGGUAUAUGUAUUUGAUAAGUAUCUACAUAUGCAUUUGAAAUGUAUACACCUCUAUUUAUAAUUAUUUGAUGAAGAUGAAUGCAUUUGAUCACAUGUAUUAGAUUUGUAUUUGGUUAUAAGUUUAUUAUGAGUAUACAUACACAGUUGGAUAUGAUAUGUGUAUAACAUACAUAUAUGCUCGGUUAUAUUCAUUUGGUUGUAAUGUUGUUUGGUAUAAAUAUAUAUAUUCAAUUGAACGCAUUUCGACGGGUACAUAUAUUUGACUAUAAAUAAAAUGGCCUGAGUACAGUAAAUGUAUAAAUAUUAAUUAUAUGUGUUAAUUGCAAUCUCAGUAAAUUAAAUUAAAAGUUAUAUUAUUUCUAUAUAUAUAUAUUUCAUUAUGCAAUAGACUUACUAAGCUAUAAAAGCUUACUUUGUUUGUUUAUGUCUUUCUGUUUUAUAUACUUAAAGAUCAAGCUUCAAGCUCGGGGAUCGUCAACAAGAUCAUCACUCUAUCUACUGUCUCGGUAUUAAACUGUUUAAAUUUUAAUUAUGGCAUGUACAGGCUAGAUAAAUGUUUUGGAAAGUCGUACUUUGAUAUAUUGUAUAUGAAAUUAAUAGUCAUACGAAAAUUACUUAUAUUCUUAUUCUUUAACUGGAUUGUAAUUUUAAAGAGAAGUUUAAAAUUUUACAUGUUUAAUAUUAGACCUAGCAAUUUAUAUGUAACCGUUAAAAUUAUUGAAC
rnacentral:lncRNA from 1 species